rnacentral:rRNA from 1 species
UCGAGAAUUUUUCACAAUGGGCGCAAGCCUGAUGGAGCGACGCCGCGUGGGGGAUGAAUGGCUUCGGCCCGUAAACCCCUGUCAUUUGCGAUCAACCGUUAUUAUUUAAAAGAUGAUAACCUGAUAGUAGCGAAAGAGGAAGGGACGGCUAACUCUGUGCCAGCAGCCGCGGUAAUACAGAGGUCCCAAGCGUUGUUCGGAUUUACUGGGCGUAAAGGGUGCGUAGGUGGCGGUGUAAGUCGGAUGUGAAAUCUCCGAGCUCAACUCGGAAACUGCAUUGGAAACUACAUUGCUCGAGGGUUGGAGGGGGGACUGGAAUACUUGGUGUAGCAGUGAACUGCGUAGAUAUCAAGUGGAACACCAGUGGCGAAGGCGAGUCCCUGGACAACUCCUGACACUGAGGCGCGAAAGCUAGGGGAGCAAACAG